UACGUAGGUGGCGAGCGUUAUCCGGAAUUAUUGGGCGUAAAGAGCGCGCAGGUGGUUGAUUAAGUCUGAUGUGAAAGCACACGGCUUAACCGUGGAGGGUCAUUGGAAACUGGUCGACUUGAGUGCAGAAGAGGGAAGUGGAAUUCCAUGUGUAGCGGUGAAAUGCGUAGAGAUAUGGAGGAACACCAGUGGCGAAGGCGGCUUUCUGGACUGUAACUGACGCUGAGGCGCGAAAGUGUGGGGAGCAAACAGGAUUAGAUA
rnacentral:rRNA from 1 species